UACGUAGGGGGCAAGCGUUGUCCGGAUUUAUUGGGCGUAAAGAGCUCGUAGGUGGUUCGGUAAGUCGGAUGUGAAAUCUCCAGGCUCAACCUGGAGGGGUCAUUCGAUACUGCCGUGACUAGAGUGCGGUAGAGGGGUGUGGAAUUCCCGGUGUAGCGGUGAAAUGCGUAGAGAUCGGGAGGAACACCAGUGGCGAAGGCGGCACCCUGGACCAGCACUGACACUGAGGCACGAAAGCGUGGGGAGCAAACAGG
rnacentral:rRNA from 1 species